GACGAACGCUGGCGGCGUGCUUAACGCAUGCAAGUCGAGCGGUAAGGCCCUUCGGGGUACACGAGCGGCGAACGGGUGAGUAACACGUGAGUAAUCUGCCCAUCACUUCGGGAUAACUCCGGGAAACCGGUGCUAAUACCGAAUAUGACCACUUCAGGCAUCUGAUGGUGGUGGAAAGUUCCGGCGGUGAUGGAUGAGCUCGCGGCCUAUCAGCUUGUUGGUGGGGUAGUGGCCUACCAAGGCUUCGACGGGUAGCCGGCCUGAGAGGGUGACCGGCCACACUGGGACUGAGACACGGCCCAGACUCCUACGGGAGGCAGCAGUGGGGAAUAUUGGACAAUGGGCGAAAGCCUGAUCCAGCAACGCCGCGUGAGGGAUGACGGCCUUCGGGUUGUAAACCUCUUUCAGCAGGGACGAAGCGCAAGUGACGGUACCUGCAGAAGAAGCACCGGCCAACUACGUG
rnacentral:rRNA from 1 species